UGGCUUAGUUGGUUAAAGCGCCGGUCUAGCGAAUACGAAGUCGUGGGUUCGAUUCCCAC
rnacentral:tRNA from 1 species